ACAAAAUGUUCAUCUUCUCUUGUGUCUUUCUCCGAUCU
rnacentral:sRNA from 1 species